UACGAAGGGGGCUAGCGUUGCUCGGAAUUACUGGGCGUAAAGCGCACGUAGGCGGCUUCUUAAGUCAGGGGUGAAAUCCUGGAGCUCAACUCCAGAACUGCCUUUGAUACUGGUGAGCUUGAGUCCGGGAGAGGUGAGUGGAACUGCGAGUGUAGAGGUGAAAUUCGUAGAUAUUCGCAAGAACACCAGUGGCGAAGGCGGCUCACUGGCCCGGUACUGACGCUGAGGUGCGAAAGCGUGGGGAGCAAACAGG
rnacentral:rRNA from 1 species